rnacentral:rRNA from 1 species
CAAGCAGUGGAGUAUGUGGUUUAAUUUGAAGCAACGCGAAGAACCUUACCAGGUCUUGACAUCCUACUAACGAGAUAGAGAUAUGUUAGGUGCCCUUCGGGGAAAGUAGAGACAGGUGGUGCAUGGUUGUCGUCAGCUCGUGUCGUGAGAUGUUGGGUUAAGUCCCGCAACGAGCGCAACCCUUGCUAUUAGUGCUACGCAAGAG